CUGAAGUGGAGAGAACUUUGCUUUGAAAUGGUCUUCCUGAAGCUAAUAAAAACACUCUGUUCGUAGCAGCUGGAGAAGAUGUCACACGUCUUGAGAGUAGAGCCGCGAUGCGGAAUACACUGGAAAGCGUCUAGAGACGCUUGCAUUGGAAUGGUGAUGGUAAUCAAGGACAUGAAAGAACACAGCCGAAGAUCAGAAAUUUCGAGGGCCAAGAUCGCACAUGCAGGCUCACGUUCCCGCCCGGGGAGGAGGAAGUGGGGCGACUGUGAUUCAGAUCACUCCUUUGGAGCGGCAGCUGCGUGCUGCGCAUGCGCGGAAGGCCGCGGAUCCGGGCGCGUGGGAGGCUGGGCGACAACAGAAGCUCGUCCUACGGAACCCGGUACUCCUCUGCGCAAGGUCGCGCGCUCCGCGGCGGUCACGUGAUGGCUGAUCCGGCGGCCUGCCACGUGACCUGCUCGGUGGACUGGAGCGGUGAGCGACUGAGUAGCAGCGAGUCACGUGAACUUUUGGCAGCCUCCGGGCCGCAUCAGGUUCCUCCGUCAAGUUCCGUUCCCUUUAGCAGUACCUAAACUUCCCGUGCUUCGCUUUUCCGGGAUGGGAAACCCCUUCCUUCUACCCCCCCCCGCCUCAGCCCCUUUCAUAAAGGGAGAGAAGAGCAGGCGGAAGGAACGGCUGUGUAGCGCGCUGUCAUCCAGCCUACACGGACGAGCUCAGACCUGAACGCCCCCACAUGUGGCCCACAAUGCAGGAGGCUCCGUGGCGGUCCUGUGAGGGGACUCGGCCAGGCGAGGACGUCAGAACGCAGCUUCUGGGGACGCGACACUGGGCGCCCGGCCGGACGGAGGUGAUUCACCCCUGUCCAGCACUGAUGUGUGUUGUUUGGGUUGCUCUGUCGCCUGAGUCCUCUGCAGUCAGCUUCCCGGAAUGAAGUCCAGGUGCAGAAACUAGAAAACCUAAAUCGUCUAAAAAGAAAUUGAAAGACUAGUCCAGAGUCUUGGCAAAGAGGAGACUCCGGGCCGCCAUGACUUCCCUGGCAGGUUCAACCAAAUAGUAAAGAACACAUACUUAAAAUUUUUUUUAAGUUUUUUUUUU